AAGUACUUAGGCUAUAUAAACCACAAACCUUCAAAGUCUGAAUAAGUGACCCCCCCCACUAGUACUUG
rnacentral:tRNA from 1 species